rnacentral:rRNA from 1 species
GACGUAGGGCGCAAGCGUUGUCCGGAUUUAUUGGGCGUAAAGAGCUCGUAGGCGGCUUGUUGCGUCGUCCGUGAAAACCCGCAGCUCAACUGCGGGCUUGCGGACGAUACGGGCAGGCUGGAGUUCGGUAGGGGAGACUGGAAUUCCUGGUGUAGCGGUGAAAUGCGCAGAUAAUCAGGAGGAACACCGGUGGCGAAGGCGGGUCUCUGGGCCGAUACUGACGCUGAGGAGCGAAAGCGUGGGGAGCGAACAGG